GCACUUGAUCCGCUUCCAUCCCCAUCCAGAUCCCUACAGAUAGACGCCCAGUUCAUUUAACCGCAAAUUUGAAGGGACAAAGGUCCAACAGUUGCUCAAUAAAACCAUUUUGAGAACUGCGGAGAUGAUGGGAGAUCUUAAUUGAAACCACAAGAGACCUGUACAUAGCCUUGUCUUACUUAUAUGGUAACAAAGCAGCGCCAGGGGGAACGAACCAUCCAAUCCAAUGCCUCCAACAUUAACUUGAGAGCUAGAAGUGCUCCAGAAAUGAUAUUGGAUUAACAGCUAGAGGUGCUGAGUAGCAAAGAUAUAAAUGAAAAAUCUCUACGCCAGAGCUCAAAAUAAUACCAACGGUAGAAAUGAUAGGACUUGACACUUGACUCUGGCUAGGUUCAAAAGGUUUUCGUUCCACGCCCAUACAUUUCCUCCAAAAUUCCCUGUUUAAAAAUGUUCUUCUCCUGGGACAGGAAAUCCCGAUGCUCACAGCUCAUAUGCGAUCAAAAGAGGUGGGAAAAAUAACACCGUAUCAAGGAACGGGCACCACUGAAAUAGCCGUUGACAUGGAUUCCUUGGAUUGACAUCGACUCGACGAUGGAAGUAAGGCCUCUUGGCAUUAGUACGGAGUUUGUAUUGUAUCUGUCGGUCUGGUAACGUAUUAUAUUGUUCUGUAACGGAACAUGUGCUUGCUUUUUCUUACACUGCUGAUUGUUACU
rnacentral:sRNA from 1 species